UAGGGAAUCUUCCACAAUGGACGAAAGUCUGAUGGAGCAACGCCGCGUGAGCGAUGAAGGCCUUCGGGUCGUAAAGCUCUGUUGUUAGGGAAGAACAAGUACCGGAGUAACUGCCGGUACCUUGACGGUACCUAACCAGAAAGCCACGGCUAACUACGUGCCAGCAGCCGCGGUAAUACGUAGGUGGCAAGCGUUGUCCGGAAUUAUUGGGCGUAAAGCGCGCGCAGGCGGUCCUUUAAGUCUGAUGUGAAAGCCCACGGCUCAACCGUGGAGGGUCAUUGGAAACUGGGGGACUUGAGUGCAGAAGAGGAAAGCGGAAUUCCACGUGUAGCGGUGAAAUGCGUAGAGAUGUGGAGGAACACCAGUGGCGAAGGCGGCUUUCUGGUCUGUAACUGACGCUGAGGCGCGAAAGCGUGGGGAGCAAACAGGAUUAGAUACCCUGGUAGUCCACGCCGUAAACGAUGAGUGCUAAGUGUUAGGGGGUUUCCGCCCCUUAGUGCUGCAGCUAACGCAUUAAGCACUCCGCCUGGGGAGUACGGCCGCAAGGCUG
rnacentral:rRNA from 1 species